GUGAGUUAGUGAGAUCUUGGAGAUUUCUUCAAUCUUGGAGAAAGACUAUUACUGAAAAUGAACAUUUCUCCGUCUCGUCAUUUUACUCUAUUAAUUCAGGUAUAUAAUGUGCAAAAGUGCCAUGUGACUCAAAAUAUUGAGGUAACAUGGUUAAUUAGAUACACCAUGAGUUUGGUGAUGUUUGAAGGCAAUUGAAGGGAGUUUUCAGAGUGAAAAACUGCUGUAUGGUGACUCCAGGUUUGGAUGUACGGACCAAAGGGACUGACGGGUACCUGGAAUGGUGGGAGGACAAUCUGAAGGUAAUUAUCGUUGCACACAACGGUAGCGUCCAGGCCUCAAGAGUUCUCACCCUAUCGCCUGAUGUACGGACAGGAGCCACAGCUAUUUACUGAGAAGUUGUCAAACCAGAUCAGAACACCUUCGAGGACCACCUCCAGGCACGGGUGAGAAGGAUGUGGAGAUCUUUGACCAGGUGAGACUGUACAUGGACAAGGCACAGGAGAAACAGAAGGAAAGCCACCAGAUGAGAAUCAAGGGUACCAGGUGCUUCGACAUCUGGUCGAAUGACAAAAGGAAGGCGAGACCUGGGAAACCUUGCUGCUCUUUCCCUUCUAGCUGGGGUUCCCAUCCGUUGAGGGACCAUCCCUUACCUCCCACAUCAAGCCCACUGACAUACAAAAUUACAGACAGGACCUAGGGGUUCUGCCUAAAACCCAGACAUGGAUCCUCCUGAUCCUCCUUUACCAACCACCCUCCAACUUUUCAUUGCAUAAGCUACUCUUAUUGUCAUGUUGUCAUUAUCUGCUAAGAAAGAGCAAGAAAAUUAUCUUACUGGGCACAUAAUGUGAGAUGCACAGAUAAGCUAAAAACACUAGCACUGCAAACACUCAGAACAAAGAGAGCAGCAGCGCAUGGACUUUGCAGUUUCCCUCUUCGAGUCCCCUUUCCGAGACUGACUGCCUGUUAAAAACAAGUGACAGGCUGAAUCUCCCAUCCACACAGCACCCACCUCCUCUCCAUUCCACACGCCAGAAUUCAGUAUUUCAGUCUGAUUGCCAUGUGAGUGUACAAAAAAAUCUGUGAAAGUAAACGGACACACGUACCAAAAAAAUCUAAAUCUUUUUUAUUUAAAUUUAAAAUAUUGCCAGAUUGGUAUUCACAGGUGUUUCAUGAGGCGUUUAUUAUUGUAAAUUGUAAUGUAUCAUUUGUUAGCUCAAUAUUAUUCAUUGUUGUAGCUAUGAUUUGUAAAAAAUAAAAUAAAAAUCAUUACAUAAUUUCUGUGUAGAUAAGGGAUGGCCUGUUUAAAGUGAAAACAUCCCAGACAGACAAGCCAGUGUAUGAAUCAAAUGUAUUUGCAUAUGAAUGGAGUGGAAAUUGGAUGACUUUGUGAUCAGCAAGGUAAGUAACAAUGUGUGGAGGGGGGGUCAUCAAAAUAUACAUAUUUUUUACCCCGAUGUCGAUUUAUUCAUAAAAAGCAGAAGAUGGCAAGUAACAUUAAUAGGAAUACAUUAGCCUGAUCGGUAACAAAUAUGACGUGGGGAAAAGUCUGGGCCCUCAUUUAUCAACGUUGCGUACGAAUAGAAAUGUUCAUAAACCAUGCGUGCAAUCAUUUCUAAGCAAAGUGGGAUAUAUCCAUUUGUACUUAUACUUGAGAAUGUGUGUAAAAUUUAAGUGCACCUCUGAACAUGUUUACGCACAGCACCUUGAGGUAGAGAAGUCAAACUGCUAAUGAAAUACCAUCCACCAAUUGGAGAAAGGAUUGACAUACUGGACCCAAAUCAUAAACUAUGAUGAAAAAAGUUAAUACAUUAAUAGUUUAUUUUUCUUUUAUAGACACUUAAGCUACUAGUAGUUUUCUUAGGGUGCUAUCGAAUACAUAAACAUGAAACCAUUUAAGCCUAAUUGAGUAAAGUUAAUUAGAAAGAGUGGAAUGUAAGGUUGGAGGCAAUUUAGUUAAACCAGUUAAAUAAUAUAAAAGGCAACACUGAGGCAUUGUGAAAAAAUGGAAAAUCUUGCAUUGCUGAAGGAUCUGGCACAAGCUGCAUUAUGCAGGGAGUGUAUUUUGCUGAGUGCGACGCUUGACCUAUUAGAUUUAGUUUUAAAGGCAUAUUUUGUGUCUCUGUAACCAACUCUAACCAGUAUUAGACGAAACGCCCCAGUGCAUACCAACGUCUUCUCCACCCUGGGAGUUUUAGCCACUGGAACAUUAACAGGAGAAUGCGGAUCGGUCUGGCAUUUUAAAACCAACCAUGAGCCGAAUAUUGCCUGCAGUCCUCAUGGCAUUGUUUAAUUGACCCCACAAUACAUACAGUUUCCGUGCAACAGGCCAGAGUGAAAAGGAAUUUCCAUAGCUGGAUUUCCCAAUGUCAUUGGAGAAAUUGACUGCAACCACAUCACAAUAAAAGCACCAUUGAACAAAUUCAACUUCGUCAAAACAAAAGGUUUCCAUUCUGUCGAUGUGCAGGUCAUCUGUGAUUCACAUUUGGCUUUGUUGAAUGUAGUGGCCAAACGGCCAGGUGGGGGACAAUUCAUUCACUGUGCAGAACAGUUCAGGAAGGAGCUGUUGAGGAUGGAUGGCUUAUUGGUAAGCAACACAUUUCAUUUGCAAGGUUUCAUUUGCCAUGUUAGACCUCUACUGGGAAACUAAAUGUUGUGUUCAUAACUGCAGGAGACCGGGGCUACCCAUUAAAAACAUGGCUGAUGACUCCCCUUACAAACCCCUCAAACCAACAAGAGACAACAUACAACCAAGCCCACGCACGCAUAUGAACAGUGGAGCACACCAUAGGCCUGCUGAAAUGGUAUUGGCUGUGCUUGUCUGGGACAGCAAUACCAGCCUAGCAAGGCUUUCCUCAAAUGACAUUCUUUCAAAUGCCAUUAUAUGAAUGUAAUACAAUGAAAAUUCCUUUUUAGGUUUGCUACAUUGUCAAGGCUUGCAGUGUGCUCCACAAGAGUCAAUAUACGUUUUUAGGUAUCUGUUCUUCCAAAUAUAAUCAAAUCGACAAGGAAAACACGUGUACAUUGCACCAGAAUUUGUCUCACGUUUGACACAAACAAGUUCUUUCAAUUAUUGUUUCUCUCUCCAGCUGUUGCGAACAUCCACCAGUUGCUGUUUGAAUCUGAGAAUUGAUGUGUUGAUCUCUUGUUGUUUCAGGACUGCGUCAGCCAAAGCAGCUGAAGUGCUCACCAACGAGGACACCCUUGUAGGCCUUGUCAGGCAAAUCAGCCACCUCUGUGAAGACUUCAUGUUUUGUUAUAUUUAUUUUGUUACAUAUAACAAAUAUGUAGAUGUGGCCCUUGUCUGAAUAUGGUUGCAAAAAUAAAGCUUGACUUACCAUCA